ACGCUUCUUUCCUCCCGAGUGCUUGCACUCAAUUGGAAAGAGGAGUGGCGGACGGGUGAGUAACACGUGGGUAACCUACCCAUCAGAGGGGGAUAACACUUGGAAACAGGUGCUAAUACCGCAUAACAGUUUAUGCCGCAUGGCAUAAGAGUGAAAGGCGCUUUCGGGUGUCGCUGAUGGAUGGACCCGCGGUGCAUUAGCUAGUUGGUGAGGUAACGGCUCACCAAGGCCACGAUGCAUAGCCGACCUGAGAGGGUGAUCGGCCACACUGGGACUGAGACACGGCCCAGACUCCUACGGGAGGCAGCAGUAGGGAAUCUUCGGCAAUGGACGAAAGUCUGACCGAGCAACGCCGCGUGAGUGAAGAAGGUUUUCGGAUCGUAAAACUCUGUUGUUAGAGAAGAACAAGGACGUUAGUAACUGAACGUCCCCUGACGGUAUCUAACCAGAAAGCCACGGCUAACUACGUGCCAGCAGCCGCGGUAAUACGUAGGUGGCAAGCGUUGUCCGGAUUUAUUG
rnacentral:rRNA from 1 species